AAGGACUUAGCGCAGGAAGCGCACCUAAAAGAACAGGGACAUGAAGGAUUGUUCGCCAGGAUGGCGCACCGACCACGGAUGUCAGGAACCAGUCUGCAGAACCCCGCGCAAGCGGGGUUUU
rnacentral:sRNA from 1 species